CGUAACACGUGAGCAACCUACCGAACUGUGGGGGGAUAGCCGGCCUAACGGCCGAGUAAUACCGCAUACGCUCUCAGAGAGGCAUUUCUUUGGGAGGAAACCUACGGGACAGAUCGAGGGGCUCGCGGCCUAUCAGCUAGUUGGUGAGGUAACGGCUCACCAAGGCGACGACGGGUAGCUGGUCUGAGAGGAUGGCCAGCCACAUUGGGACUGAGAUACGGCCCAG
rnacentral:rRNA from 1 species